rnacentral:lncRNA from 1 species
GUUUGAUCUUUUCUUGUAUGUACUAGUGAAGGCACUCGCGUGUUGCGGCUGGUCGAUUUCGUAAAAAUAAAUAAAUAAAUAAAAUUAAAUAAAAAAUAGCACGAAAAAAAUUGUCAAAGAUUUAUUUAAAUAAAAAAGCAAUUGAAGAAGAAGCAACUACUGUUGUAAUAAAAAUAUAAAAAUAAAAGUAUAAGAAUGAUUAAAAAAAUAAGGGCAAGACCAUAAGAAUAAUAAAUUAUAUUUAUAGCAGCAGUAAACGUUGAGGAUUAAAAUGAUAUACCUCAUAUUUCAAGCCAGAAAUUGUAACUAAUUCAAGUUUGAGGAUGAAAGUGUCACAUGCCUUAUAAUUUAAACUAUAACACAUUAAAGUUCGAGAACUAAAGUGUCACGGUCUUAUAGUUUUGAGGAUGAAAAGUGUAAUUUAUCUUUUGAUCUUUUAUUUUUAUUCUAGACAAAGAUAGAGUUGAGUAUCUAUCGAUUUUAUUCAAUUAAUAAUUUCAUUUGAAGAAAAAAAUUUGUUAAAUUAUCUAAUAAAUUUUAGAAUA